UAAGAGUGAUAAGUAGCUUGUCUGAAGAACACUAGUUUUAUUCUUGUGUUUCUUCCCUCCCCUCUGUAAUGCAUUUCCCUUCUCUUUUCUCCUUCAUGUGAGAAGUGCGGCAUUGAGCUCUCUGCGGUGUAAGCUGUCCAACAGAGCAUCUCAUCAAUAGAAGAAAUAUGUACCCAUACUCCACAUAAUAAACUAGACUUUUAAUGAUCUGGAUUUCAUCCACACUUCAGGGAGUCUCUGCAAAGGCCCUCUAGAGACAAUUCUCCUGACCAGUCUUCCAUAUCUACAGAUGCCUUUACCUCCAUAUCCUGAUAUUAAGUUUCCUGUCAGUCCUGUCUACAUAUUUGGCCACACUCAACUUCCUCUGGUGCUCUUAGCACACUUGUGGGACAAUGAAUCUCAGCCAUCAACUUGAUGAGAUCUAGACUCUGGGAGAUGAGCCUCUGAACGUGCCUGUGGGAGAUUAUCCUGACUGGAUUAAUUGAUAUGGGAAGAUCCACCC